UACGUAGGGGCCAAGCGUUGUCCGGAUUUAUUGGGCGUAAAGAGCUCGUAGGCGGUUCGGCAAGUCAGCUGUGAAAUCUCCACGCUCAACGUGGAGGGGUCAGCUGAUACUGCUGUGACUCGAGUCCGGUAGGGGAGUGUGGAAUUCCCGGUGUGAGCGGUGAAAUGCGUAGAGAUGUGGAGGAAUACCGAUGGCGAAGGCAGCCCCCUGGGCCAAUACUGACGCUCAUGCACGAAAGCGUGGGGAGCAAACG
rnacentral:rRNA from 1 species